rnacentral:SRP_RNA from 1 species
GCUGGGCACUGUGGUGCAUGCCUGUAGUCCCAGCUACCUGGGAGGCUGAGGCAGGAGGAUCACUGGAGCCCAGGAGUUGGAGGCUGCAGUGAGCUAUGAUGGUGUCACUGUACUCCCACCUGAGCAACAGAGAGAGACCCUGGCUCUA